AACAUCAGAAACUGAAGGAAAAUCAGAUAAUCCUAUCACCAUGGAUAAAUCUUAUGUAAAUAACGGGCUUGAAACAGAAAAGGUGGAUGCAAAAAUUGAGUUAUUUAUUGACAACAGUAUUAGUUGCAUACCUGGAUUAAGUAAGAAGCACUGCCGUCAGCUAGAAAAUGGGGGCUUUCACACGAUACGGAAACUGCUGCGCCAUUUUCCUCGUACCUAUGCGGACUUGCAGAAUGCACAGGUUGAAAUUGGUGAUGGACAGUACUUAAUUUUUAUUGGGAAAAUCUUGUCCUCCAGGGGAAUCAGAGCCAGCCGAUCUUUUUCAUUUCUUGAGGUGGUUGUGGGCUGUGAGAUAGCAGAAAAUGAAGGAAACUUGUGUCAUGUUACUGUUGAUAUUGAUAAUGGAAGAAAGAAAAUAAUUUAUUUGCAUUUGAAGAAAUAUUUCAGUGGUGCUCGGUUUGCUUGUCAACCUUUUCUUAGAAGUCUUGAGGAGAAGCAUAAACUGGGGGAGUUUGUAUGUGUUAGCGGUAAGGUAAGAACAAUGUACCAAAGAUCACUAUGAAAUGAGGGAAUAUAGUAUUGACGUGCUAAAUGAUGAAAAAGAAUCAUCUCUUCGCACAAGAGGAAGGCCAUACCCUAUAUACCCUUCAAAAGGAGGCCUGAACCCCAAUUUUCUUAGGGACAUUAUUGAAAGGCAUAUAUUGGGAUUCACCAGCCAAAGAAUAUAGAAGAGGCUGAUUUAGCUCGCAAAAGACUUAUAUUUGACGAGUUCUUUUACCUGCAGUUGGGACGCCUAUUCCAAAUGCUCGAAGGGCUUGGUACACAAAUAGAGAAAGAUGGACUGCUCGAUAAGUACAGAAGACCCGAAGUAAAUGCUAUUUAUGUGGAGGAAUGGUCUAGUCUUGCAAAGGAAUUUUUAAAGGCUCUUCCGUAUUCCCUCACUUCUAGUCAGCUAACUGCUGUUUCGGAAAUAAUAUGGGACCUGAAGAGACCAGUUCCAAUGAAUCGUCUUUUGCAGGGGGAUGUUGGAUGUGGGAAAACUGUUGUUGCAUUCUUGGCAUGCAUGGAGGUUAUUGGUUCUGGUUAUCAGGCAGCUUUCAUGGUUCCCACUGAGUUGCUUGCAGUCCAGCAUUAUGAGCACUUGUGCGAGUUACUUGAGAAUAUGGAGGUCCAGGCCAAGCCAUCUGUUGCUCUUCUUACAGGUUCAACCCCAUCAAAAAAAUCGCGAAUGAUUCGUAAGGAUCUCCAAACAGGAGACAUCUCAAUGAUAAUUGGAACUCACAGUUUAAUAGCUGAUAAUGUGGAGUUCUCUGCUUUACGUAUUGCUGUGGUGGACGAACAACAUCGUUUUGGUGUUAUUCAGAGAGGAAGAUUUAACAGUAAGUUGUAUACUGCCUCUGUGAAUUCAACAAUGGCACCAGCUAAUUCAGAUGGUCCUCCAAAAGGUGAUGGAUAUAUGGCCCCUCAUAUCCUUGCCAUGUCUGCUACUCCUAUUCCAAGAACACUUGCUCUGGCUUUAUAUGGAGAUAUGUCCCUUACUCAGAUAACUGACUUGCCCCCUGGAAGAUUGCCAGUUGAAACAUAUAUUUUUGAAGGAAAUGACAAUGGCUUUGAGGAAGUUUACACUAUGAUGCUGGAAGAAUUAGAAGCAGGAGGCAAAGUGUAUCUUGUGUAUCCAGUCAUUGAACAAUCUGAGCAACUACCUCAACUUCGUGCUGCUUCUGCAGAUCUUGAAGCUAUCUCACAUAAAUUUCAGGGUUACAGAUGUGGUUUAUUGCAUGGAAGAAUGAAAAGUGAUGAAAAAGAUGAAGCAUUGAGAAGGUUUAAAACUGGGGAUACACAUAUACUGCUUUCCACUCAGGUAAUCGAGAUUGGAGUAGAUGUUCCAGAUGCAACUAUGAUGGUUGUAAUGAAUGCUGAGAGAUUUGGAAUAGCUCAGUUGCACCAACUUCGAGGACGAGUUGGACGUGGAGUAAGAAAGUCUAAAUGUAUAUUAGUAGCAUCUACUGCUAGUAGCCUUAACCGUCUGAAGGUAUUGGAGAAAUCAUCUGAUGGCUUUCACUUGGCAAAUAUCGAUCUUCUUCUACGUGGUCCUGGUGACUUGCUUGGUAAAAAACAAUCGGGACACCUUCCAGAGUUUCCUAUUGCCAGAUUGGAAAUCGAUGGCAAUAUUUUACAAGAAGCACAUGCUGCUGCACUGAGAGUUUUAGGUGAUUCUCAUGAUUUGGACAAAUUUCCUGCGUUAAAAAUAGAGCUUAGCAUGCGUCAGCCACUUUGCCUGCUGGGUGAUUGAGCUUCAGCUAUGUUAAAAUUUGAGUUGUCAAAUUCAGUCUGAAAUUGUAUAUUUUCUCAUAUAUUGGAAGUUUAGACAUAGAAAUCAGCACCUGGGCUAAUCAAUUUUUUCUGCUUAUUAAUUGCACUCGCACCACCAACAGGACUAUUGACUGUGGCGGAGAUUACAGUCAUGAAUUGCCAUCACCGUAAGUAAUUGUUUAUGGUUGUUGAUCAUCAUAAAUUCGAUUUUUUUUUUUUAAAUAUAUAGUUUGCAGAUAGUUUUCACCAGUUAUCAGAACCACUGUGUCCCAUUUGUCACCAAUCUCUCCUCAGGCUGAGUUUUCAACAUGUACAUCAUGAGCAUCUAUAGACGUGUUUUUAUCUAGUAAUGAACGUAUUCUUUAAUUUGGGUGUUUCAAACAUUUCAAAAAACUAAAAGUGAUGACA